GACGAACGCUGGCGGCGUGCUUAACACAUGCAAGUCGAACGGUAAGGCCCUUCGGGGUACACGAGUGGCGAACGGGUGAGUAACACGUGGGUGAUCUGCCCUGCACUUCGGGAUAAGCCUGGGAAACUAGGUCUAAUACCGGAUAGGACCACUGCCUGCAUGGGUGGUGGUGGAAAGCUUUUGCGGUGUGGGAUGGGCCCGCGGCCUAUCAGCUUGUUGGUGGGGUGAUGGCCUACCAAGGCGACGACGGGUAGCCGGCCUGAGAGGGUGACCGGCCACACUGGGACUGAGAUGCGGCCCAGACUCCUACGGGAGGCAGCAGUGGGGAAUAUUGCACAAUGGGCGCAAGCCUGAUGCAGCGACGCCGCGUGAGGGAUGACGGCCUUCGGGUUGUAAACCUCUUUCAGCACCGACGAAGCGCAAGUGACGGUAGGUGCAGAAGAAGGACCGGCCAACUACGUGCCAGCCGCCGCGGUAA
rnacentral:rRNA from 1 species